UACGGAGGGUGCAAGCGUUAUCCGGAUUCACUGGGUUUAAAGGGUGCGUAGGUGGGCAGAUAAGUCAGUGGUGAAAUCUCCGGGCUUAACCCGGAAACUGCCGUUGAUACUAUUUGUCUUGAAUAUUGUGGAGGUAAGCGGAAUAUGUCAUGUAGCGGUGAAAUGCUUAGAUAUGACAUAGAACACCAAUUGCGAAGGCAGCUUACUACACAAUCAUUGACUCUGAGGCACGAAAGCGUGGGGAUCAAACAGG
rnacentral:rRNA from 1 species